rnacentral:miRNA from 1 species
GAAUGCUGCCAGCAUGAUCCACCUCCGGGCACUUCACCGCAUGUGCCCUCUGCCAUCCCACUUUCCACACUGUGUUGGCUAUGUGUCCUUUCAGUACAGUAUCUCCUUUUCCCGGACACUUGUACUUUAAUCAUGAAGG